rnacentral:rRNA from 1 species
GUUGAACGCUGGCGGCGUGCUUAACACAUGCAAGUCGAACGGAGUGGCGAACGGGUGAGUAACACGUGGGUGAGCUGGCCUGCACUUCGGGAUAUGCCUGGGAAACCGCGUCUAAUACCGGAGAGUGUGGGUUGGGCCCGCGGCCGAUGGGCUUGUGGGGGGGGUAAUGGCCGACCAAGGCGGCGACGGGUAACCGGCCUGAGAGGGUGGACGGCCACAUGGGGGCUGGGACACGGCCCAGAGGGCUACGGUGGGCAGCAGGGGGGAGUAUUGCACAAUGGGCGGACGCCUGGUGCGAGGAGGCUGAGUGGGGGAAGACGGCCUACGGGUGGUGAACUCCUGUAACCAUCGACGCGGUAGAGGGAGAAGAAGCACCGGCUAACUACGUGCCAGCAGCCGCGGUAAUUC